rfam:Solanum lycopersicum cultivar Heinz 1706 chromosome 5, whole genome shotgun sequence.
AAUCAAAAAGAAUGCAUUGGAUGGAUGUCGGGGUAUUGGGAAGGAAGGACGCUUUCAGAGGAAAAAUUCCAUGGGGAGAUACCGUCUGUGAUCAAUGGAUCUCAGAUUGGGAAACCGUAUCCAAGCUCCGUGGCUAGUCUCCUCUCUUUGGACUUUUAGAACUUAGCAAACUGAAACAUCUUAGUAGCUAAAGGAAGGGGAAUUAAUUGAGACCCCGUUAGUAGCGCUCAGCGAGAGCGAAUUGGGGUUUGAAGAAAAACAAACACGAAGCAUUGUUCCUCUCCUUUUACGCAAGCUACUAUGUUCCUCAGCAAAGUGUUCACGUUUUUUUUUGCUAGGUUUCAUUCGAUUUGUUGUGGAUUGGAUGAUGGAAAAACUAGCAAGCUACGGCUUCAAAUCUUACCUUAUUUAGAAAAGGAGAAAGGGCUUUUUUUAUAUAUGUUGAGGUUGAGUAAGGGGGCGGAGCUUGAAGAGCUUAGCGAGCCGCGCUAGCCUAGCAACAUUUUUCAGCAGCAAGCUACAGUCUAACGACCCCCUACCUAGGUUGGGGCAAAAACUCCAAAAUCCAAAACAUUGGUUUUUCUUCCUCUCCUUUAUGUCGAGUGACUUCGUACCUCUCCUUUUAGGCGAGCUACUUCAUUCCAAACCUUUCUCUAAUAAUAAGGUAAGCUUGAAAGACGCUGCCCUUUAAAUUUAAAGGAGCGAGCACAGUGAACUAUAAUUGUGAAAAUAUUGGAAGAUCUGACCAAAGAAGGUGACAUCCCUGUAGAUUCAUUUUCAUGGUUCAAUCCUUCCCAGUAAAAUGUGACGUGUUCAAAUUCUAAUCGCUUUUUACGCGAGAAAGGGGGACCACCCUCUAAGCUUAAGUAUUCCUCAAUGACCGAUAGAGUACAAGUUCCAUGAGGGAAAGAUGAAAAGAACCCUAUUUAGGGAGUGCAAUAGAGAACCUGAGAUCCGAUGUGAAUAAUAAGUCCAAAGAGCAUAGCUUAGAGCCUUUACUUUAUAUAAAGCGCACUCACUCUAACGGCGUACCUUUUGCAUGAUGGGUCAGUGAGUAAAUGGGAACAACGGCUUAAGCCACUAGGUGUAGGCGCUUUCCAAAGGUGGAAUCUUUGAGUUCUUCCAAUUUGACCCGAAACCAACCGAUCUAGCCAUAAGCAGGUUGAAAAGAUCUAUAACAAGCCUUGGAGGACCGAACCCACGUAUGUGGGAAAAUACGUAGAUGACUUAUGGCUAGGGGUGAAAGGCCAACCAAGAUCGAAUACAGCUGGUUUUUCGCAAAAUCUAUUUCAGUAGAGCGUAUGAUGUUGAUGGCCCGAGGUAGAGUACUCAAUUGGCUAGUGUGGCCUUAUUUCUCCUUACCAACCCUAGGGAAACGCCGAAUACAGGCCUAGAUCGUUUGUACAGAUAGACUUUUUGGGUUCUAAGAUCCAAAAUCGAGAGGAAAACAGCCAAGAUCGUACGCUAUGUCCCUAAAUAAUCAUUUAGUGGAAAAGGAAGUGAUCGAGCAAUGACAACCACGAUGUGGCCAUCCUUUGAAGAAAGCGUAAUAUCUCACUAGUGAAGCCCAAUGGCAUCGAAAAUGUAUCAGAGCUCACGUGAUUCACUAAAGCGAUAAGACUUUGAAAGUUGAUCUUUCAAGUGUCAGUAGAGGAACAUUCUGUCAAUUGGGGAAGGUUUUUGGGGACAAGACCUUGAUAUAUCCUAAGUGAGAAUGCUGACAUGAGUAACAAGAAAUCCUGCGAAAAACACGAUUGCCUGCUAGUGGAAGGUUUUCUGCGUUAAUUCAAUCUACAUAGAGUGAAUUGGUCCCUAAGAAACCCCCGAAAGGGCUGUCGUCCAAUGGGUACACGAAAGUUACGAAGUUGCUUUGACUACAGAAUAUUGCCUGUCUAUUGGAGCAAAUUGGAUGAUCGGGCCAAGGGCUGCCCCCUCUUCCCCUCACUCUCAUUUCCCUAUUAUGAACCUUGAGUCAUCAAAGCCUUUCUAACUCGGCCUGGCCCGGUCGACCUACGCGACUGGCGCUUCAAAAGGAGAAACUCUUGAUCUUAGUUUAGAGACCUAUCUUCAGAAGGGGCCUUUACUCUUUUGAUUAGCGUAGGGGUCGCGAGAGAGCAGAGUGUACUGCCCUACCAUAGUCACGAGUCUGUUUAUAGUCAUGACACUUGUCAUAGUCAAAGAGGUUGAAACUUUCAAGAAAAAACUUUUAAUUAGGAGGGCGAUCCUCCCGGUGAAUUGACCAUACCCAAAACCAACACAGGUGAACAAGUAGAGUAUACUAGGGUGCUUGAGAGAACCAUGUUGAAGGAACUCGGCAAAAUGACCCCGUAAAUUCAGGAGAAGGGGUGCUCUCCUUUCUUUUGAUUAGGAAAGCGGCACAUACCAUGGGGUAGCGAAUAUUUGUUAAAAACUUAGGUCUUUGCUAAGUUGUAACACGAUGUAUAGAGUAUAACACAUGUCGGUGCUGGAAGGUGAGAAGGAGAAGUGUUAUAAGCAUUGAAUGGAAAUCCCAGUAAACUGCGGCAAUAACUCUAAAUGUCCUAAGGUAGUUAAAUUCCUUGUCGCAUAAGUAGAGACCUGCACAAAUGUGUAACUACUGUCGCGCUGUCUCCAACAUGGACCCGGUGAAAUUGAAUUCUCCGUGAAGAUGCGGAGUACCAACAGCUAGGCGGUAAGACCCCGUGCACCUUAACUAUAGAUUCGAGUGACAACCUUAAUUGAAUGAGUAAGAUAGGUGGGAAGUGGUGACACACAACGAUAAACCCUGAAAGACCACUCUUUCGUCUAAGGAUUCCUAACCGCCACACCGAUCAUUGGGGGGAGGCAGGACACUGCGAGGUAGGUAGUUUAUCUUGAGCGGAUGCCUCUUAAAGAGUAACAGAGGUAUGCAAAGGUAGGUAAACAUAAUAUUCUGCUCAUGAGUGUAAUUGUAUAAGCCUACUAACUGUGAGACCGACUGGUCGAACAAAUAUGAAAGUUGUCCAUUCUGAUCCAAGAGUCCCGUGUGGAAGGGAUCUCGCUAAAUUGAUCAAAUGUACGCCAGGGAUAACAGGCUGAUGAAUCCUAAGAUCCUUUAUCCACGGAGUCGUUUAGCACCUCGAUGUCGACUCAUCACAUCAUGUGGUUGAAGAAAGUCCCAAGAGUUCAGUUGUUUGCCGAUUUAAGUGGUACGUGAGUUGGUUUUAGAACAUCGUGAGAUAGUUUGGUUCCUAUCUACCGUUGGUGUUAAAGGGAGAACUGUGAGUAGCCAACCCUAGUACGAGCGGACUGGGUUGUGUUAACCUAUCGUGUAUUGGUUGUUAUGCCAAUAGCAAUGCUGGGUACCUAAGUUGGUAUAGAAGAAUUAUUGCGCCGCGGGAAAUCCUUCUCUAUACAAGUUCUUGGAUGAGGUCUUUGAACAGAACUUCGAUAGGCGAGAGGUGUAAGCUCCCCGAGGUGUGAAGCGAUCUCGUACUAAACGAAAUGACUUU